GAACCUGAGAGUUUGAUCGUGGCUCAGGACGAACGCUGGCGGCGUGCUUAACACAUGCAAGUCGAGCGGUAAGGCCCUUUCGGGGGUACACGAGCGGCGAACGGGUGAGUAACACGUGGGUGACCUGCCCUCAGCUCUGGGAUAAGCCUGGGAAACCGGGUCUAAUACCGGAUAUGACUCCAUGACGCAUGUUGUGGGGUGGAAAGCCUUGUGCGGCUGAGGAUGGGCCCGCGGCCUAUCAGCUUGUUGGUGGGGUGAUGGCCUACCAAGGCGACGACGGGUAGCCGGCCUGAGAGGGCGACCGGCCACACUGGGACUGAGACACGGCCCAGACUCCUACGGGAGGCAGCAGUGGGGAAUCUUGCGCAAUGGGCGAAAGCCUGACGCAGCGACGCCGCGUGAGGGAUGACGGCCUC
rnacentral:rRNA from 1 species